AGCGGAGGGAGGAAAAAUCUCUUUGCAGUAGAGGCGCCAAGAAGUGAAAGAAGCGCCCACUGAGCAGAGUUCACCUUAGUUUCCUCCUACACGUAGGGUUUUGCAGUUGGCAAUCCGCCAUCUCUAACUGGAUACAAACUGGACUGGCUUGUUGGACAACCUCCGGCCGUUCCUAGCGGGACCGUGGGUAUAAUACUUUAUGGAUCCGGGAAGCAAAGGAACCAAGUUGGGCUGUCUGCUUUAACGCCAGACCGUGGCACUGAUGACCCCAGCGGAUGGUCUUCAGCUGUGGAGUGACAAGAAAAUUUCUUCCAUGCUAAUUCUGUUGAAUGUUUUUUGUGUAACUGUACCCCUGCCCAGGGAUUCUGGUGAUGGCCAGGUAAUAAGCAUACAUUAAAUAAAUCGUUUUUGAUGCA